GACGAACGCUGGCGGUGUGCUUAACACAUGCAAGUCGAACGGUAAGGCCCUUUCGGGGGUACACGAGUGGCGAGCGGGUGAGUAACACGUGAGUAACCUGCCCUCAUCUCUGGGAUAACAGUCGGAAACGGUUGCUAAUACUGGAUAUGAGCUUGCAAGGCAUCUUGUGGGUUGGAAAGAUUUUUUUUGGUUGGGGAUGGACUCGCGGCCUAUCAGCUUGUUGGUGAGGUAGUGGCUCACCAAGGCUUCGACGGGUAGCCGGCCUGAGAGGGCGACCGGCCACAUUGGGACUGAGAUACGGCCCAAACUCCUACGGGAGGCAGCAGUGGGGAAUAUUGCACAAUGGACGGAAGUCUGAUGCAGCAACGCCGCGUGCGGGAUGACGGCCUUCGGGUUGUAAACCGCUUUCAAUUGUGACGAAGCUUUUUUGUGACGGUAGCAGUAGAAGAAGCACCGGCUAACUACGUG
rnacentral:rRNA from 1 species